AUGGCUCGUGGCGAUCAUCAAAGUGAUGAUGACGAUUUCAUGGAUCCACCUCAACGUAACCAGGCAACUGGACGGAGAAAAGAGGGCGAUGAGAAGAAGAAACGUAUUCGCAACAGAGCCUCCCAGGAACGUCUGACCGUGUUGAUUGACAAAUUCACUGACGAUCAAAAGGGAGCUGCUGCUGAGAUGGGUAUGCAGGUUCUGAUGGAUGUCCGGUGUACGAACCUUGUCAACCCGGUAUGCGACUGGCUUGGUGAGAUAUACGAUCCCGCCUCCAGGGAAUUCGUGAUCCCGGGACGGGGAAGACUUCCAUUGAAUGAGGAAUCCGUGUUCUGCACUUUGGGUGUGCCUCGGGGACAUAUCAAAGUCCCGUACGAGGACAUGACGACGCACGGAGAAGUUUUCAAGAUGAAGCUACUCAUGUACCUCAUCUCAGCUGUUUUCGCGCCGACCACUUCUCUUCGCCCAAGCAACAAAUGUUUCCCCAUCCUGGCGAAUCUAAAAAACGUGAAGAGUAUGAACUGGUGUAAGUUUAUUGCCGACUUUCUCCACGAUGUUUUCAAAAACAAGAUGUACCAGAAGGGUUGUCGUCUGCACUUAAUGCUCAUGUAUGUCGACUGUCUUGAUCUGUCCACCGUGGAUUUCACCGGGAUAGGAGGCCCGCCGCCUACUCACAAGUUUACCGUUUCUGCGUGGACCAUCAGCACUGUCAAGGCUGUGCUUGCCGCAGACAGGGCAACUGAUGGCACAUAUGGAAAACUACAGCUGAUGGCCAAGCAUGCUAUAGACUACAGCGUGUUUGGGGGGCCUCAAAAAUUUGAAAAGUGGAUGGACGUGCACUCAGCUCCGUCUUGCCCUUCUGAGGCGAGGGCACCAGUGGAGCAUCUAAUUAGGCAGUUUGCAUCCGGAAUGACCGGCCUGCUCGGGAAGUUAGUUGAGGGGUGGACGUCCCUCAGUGCCUCUGACAGCGACGCGGUUGCGAGCUCCCAAGAGCCCGGUGACACACAGGAUGAUGUGGAUGGAGACGCUGGCCUCAGCAAGGACGACGACGAUGACACCGAUGGCGAUGAACACGCUGAAGUUCGCACAUGCGGCAACAAGGGCAAGGAUGCAACAGGUGCCCACCCACCGGAGAAAGUGAAAAAACAUACGGCUGCGAGAGGCGAGGGGGUUUUGCCAUCAAGGAGGGGGAGGGCUCCAGAGGAUGUUGGGCAGGGUUCUGCUGGCAAGAGGUCUAGGAUCGAUCCCGUA
rnacentral:rRNA from 1 species